CCUGCGGAAGGAUCAUUAUCGUACUACAGAGGUGCAAGGGUUGUCGCUGACCUUUCCAAAAGGUCGUGCACGCCCGAGCGCUCUCAAUCCAUUUCACCCCUUGUGCAUCACCGCGCGGGGUCGCUCCCUCUUGGCUCGCUUCGAGAGGGGGAGGCUCGCGUUUUUCACACAUAAACACCCUUCUGGUUUAGAAUGUCAUUCAUUUGCGAUCACACGCAAUCAAUACAACUUUCAACAACGGAUCUCUUGGCUCUCGCAUCGAUGAAGAACGCAGCGAAAUGCGAUACGUAAUGUGAAUUGCAGAAUUCAGUGAAUCAUCGAAUCUUUGAACGCAUCUUGCGCCCCUUGGUAUUCCGAGGGGCACACCCGUUUGAGUGUCGUGAAAUUCUCAAACCUUCUUGGUUUCUCGAUCAAGAUGGCUUUGGACUUUGGAGGCAUUUUGCUGGCUUUGCGAAAAGCCAGCUCCUCUUAAAUACAUUAGUGGGGUCCCCUUUGCCGAUCCCCAGGCGUGAUAAGAUGUUUCUACGUCUCGGGAAUUUGCUUCUGUUCCUUGGGGAACCCGCUUAUAACCGUCUCAUGGGAGGACAUUCGUUCGGAGCAUGCUUCGAACCCCACGAACCUGACCUCA
rnacentral:rRNA from 1 species